rnacentral:rRNA from 1 species
GUGCAGCAGGCGAAAAUUUGGGCAAUGGCCGAAAGGCUGACCCAGCGACGCUGCGUGUGGGAUGAAGCCCUUUGGGGGCGUAAACCACUUUUCAGAAGGACGAGGGUUCAUCCGGCGAAUACCCGGACGGAUUGACGGUACUUCUGGAAUAAGCUCUGGCUAACCCCGUGCCAGCAGCCGCGGUAAGACGGGGAGAGCAAGCGUUGCCCGGAAUCAUUGGGCUUAAAGGGGGCGUAGGCGGUUAGGUGUGUCAGACGUGUAAACUAUCGGCUCAACCGAUAGGCCUGCGUUUGAAACUACCUAGCUCGAGGGCGAAAGAGGAGAGCGGAACUCCCGGUGUAGCGGUGAAAUGCGUAGA